UACGUAGGGUGCAAGCGUUGUCCGGAAUUAUUGGGCGUAAAGAGCUCGUAGGCGGUCUGUCGCGUCUGGUGUGAAAACUCAAGGCUUAACCUUGAGCUUGCAUCGGGUACGGGCAGACUAGAGUGUGCUAGGGGAGACUGGAAUUCCUGGUGUAGCGGUGAAAUGCGCAGAUAUCAGGAGGAACACCGGUGGCGAAGGCAGAUCUCUGGGCCGUAACUGACGCUGAGGAGCGAAAGCAUGGGGAGCGAACAGG
rnacentral:misc_RNA from 1 species